UAAACCACUUUAACUUCCAAAUUAAUGAUUAUAAAUUAAUCUUUGCUUCAAAAAAUCUGAAAUUACCUUCACAGUUUAUACUGAAUAAAAUUAAAAAUUAAACUAAAUAAGAAGGAUUUUUAUAAAAUGUAUAUACUGUAGAUAAAAAAUGUAUGGAAACUAUUUAUGUUAGUUAUACAUGUGAAAUUCACUUAUUGAUUAAGUUGGAUAUGUUUGGUAAAAUUUGUAUAGUAAAAUUAAUGAAAUUAGGUAUCACAACAGGUACCCUAUAUAAUAUUAUGAAGUACCUAACUCAAUUAUUCAGCCAUCACUGAUAUAUAUAUAUACAGAAAAUACAGUAGUAGUAGUGAUGGGAGAUUACUUUAUUGGCAGUCGUUAACUUAACCAGUUUGUUGCUAUAUCAUGACAUUAAUCGUGAGAAAUUAUGUGUAGAGAUACCUUAAAUUCUAUUUUAUAGUUAGAUAUGAGAAGAGGUUAUAAUAAUAA